rnacentral:misc_RNA from 1 species
AACGCACAUUGCGCCCACCGGUAUUCCGAUGGGCAUGUCUGUUUGAGCGUCAUCGCAACCCCUCGGUUACUGGUUUUUUCCAGCACGCCGGUCAUGAGCCUUGCAAAGCCGACUUCUGUCAGCGAGCAGGUUUUAAAGUUGCACGCUCUGCGGGUGACCCAACCUGAAAAAACAUAGUAGAAUUUCCAAUUUAAACUGUUUCAUUAAGGCUUGGUCAGCUCCGCCUGAACAACAAAACCAAUUUCUCAGGUUUGACCUCAGAUCAGACAAGGAUACCCGCUGAACUUAA